rnacentral:rRNA from 1 species
UGGGGAAUUUUGGACAAUGGGGGAAACCCUGAUCCAGCCAUCCCGCGUGUGCGAUGAAGGCCUUCGGGUUGUAAAGCACUUUUGGCAGGAAAGAAACGUCGCGGGUUAAUACCCCGCGAAACUGACGGUACCUGCAGAAUAAGCACCGGCUAACUACGUGCCAGCAGCCGCGGUAAUACGUAGGGUGCAAGCGUUAAUCGGAAUUACUGGGCGUAAAGCGUGCGCAGGCGGUUCGGAAAGAAAGAUGUGAAAUCCCAGAGCUUAACUUUGGAACUGCAUUUUUAACUACCGGGCUAGAGUGUGUCAGAGGGAGGUGGAAUUCCGCGUGUAGCAGUGAAAUGCGUAGAUAUGCGGAGGAACACCGAUGGCGAAGGCAGCCUCCUGGGAUAACACUGACGCUCAUGCACGAAAGCGUGGGGAGCAAACAGGAUUAGAUACCCUGGUAGUCCACGCCCUAAACGAUGUCAACUAGCUGUUGGGGCCUUCGGGCCUUGGUAGCGCAGCUAACGCGUGAAGUUGACCGCCUGGGGAGUACGGUCGCAGGAUU